UGGGGAAUAUUGCACAAUGGGCGCAAGCCUGAUGCAGCCAUGCCGCGUGUAUGAAGAAGGCCUUCGGGUUGUAAAGUACUUUCAGUCGGGAGGAAGGUGGUAAGGAUAAUAACCUUAUCAAUUGACGUUACCGACAGAAGAAGCACCGGCUAACUCCGUGCCAGCAGCCGCGGUAAUACGGAGGGUGCAAGCGUUAAUCGGAAUUACUGGGCGUAAAGCGCACGCAGGCGGUUGAUUGAGUCAGAUGUGAAAUCCCCGGGCUUAACCCGGGAAUUGCAUCUGAUACUGGUCAGCUAGAGUCUUGUAGAGGGGGGUAGAAUUCCAUGUGUAGCGGUGAAAUGCGUAGAGAUGUGGAGGAAUACCGGUGGCGAAGGCGGCCCCCUGGACAAAGACUGACGCUCAGGUGCGAAAGCGUGGGGAGCAAACAGG
rnacentral:rRNA from 1 species